UCAAAACGGACUGCGAGCAGAUGCGUAGCAUUUGCUGCAUGAGUUAAUUCCUAAGUAUAAAUUUGCCCUGGCAAAUGUAUACACCUCAUGCUAGCCUCACGAAACUGGAAUAAGCCUUUGAAAAGAAAUUUGUCCUUGAAGCUUGUAUGAUAUCAGCACUGGAUCGUAGAACUUGUUGCUGAUUUUUGACCUUGUAUUCAAGUUAACUGUUCCCUUGGGUAUUAAUGUAUCAGAGCUGAGUAUUCCAGGAUUUCUCUAGAGAUUGGCAAGAGCUGAACAAAUUGUCAUUUCUGUCUUGCCAGCUGGUCUAACAGGGUUGGGAAGGUCCCAGCCUUAGGACCCAGUUUCCUAACUGUUUUCCUGCCAGAACACCGUGGGUUGUUACUUGCCUUGAGUUGGAAGCGGUUUGCAUUUACACCUGUAAAUUUAUUCAUCCUUUUAAUUUAUGUAAGGUUUUUGUACGCAAUUCUUAAUUCUUUAAGAGAUGACAGCAGAUUUUGGUUUUCUACUGUUAUGUGAGAACAUUAGGCCCCAGCAACACAUCAUUGUGUAAGGAAAACUAAAGUGCUGCAGUAAAAAAAAAAAAAAAAAAAA